ACAUGUGCAGGGUGGAGAUGCACAGCUCCUCGGACCGUGUAGCACGGUGUCCGCCUCUCCCGGCCAUUGCAAGGCCUGGCGGGUGAACCUGGUCUCGAUGCAGAUGCCCGCGGGCAUCCACGGCCGAAAGCUGAUUCCUCCUCCUGACUGAGUGCAGUAGGCACCGCAGCAAACAGGACGCGUCGUCGCGACCUCGGCACACCGGGCAACCGGUCGUUACCGUACGUCGCCGGACAAGAGCAGUGGCCCGCCACCGCUUGCGCACCUUGGCACCGACCAUGAGAAGUCGUGUGUGCCGAACGCCGUUUCCGGCAGCCCGGAAACCGA
rfam:Pseudomonas monteilii strain TSDA-ARS-TSMARC-56711, complete genome.